GAGACCCCGGCGACACAGAGAAAACCCGGCACGGAUGCAGAGCGGACUCGGGACCAGCUGGGGGCUGGCGGGGCGCGAGAGCAGACAAGUUAGAGCAUAGCAGCUGGAAAGAGGACGCGGAACCGAUGGCCCUGGGAAGCGGGUCGGAGAAACUGACAGAGGAGAUUAGAAACCCGCGCAGAUCGGGAGGAGAGACUUCCAGACACAGAAGCAGAGCGGCGGAAAGGAGAGGAGCGACGUGCCAGGCUGUGCUUAGACAGGAGCAGUGAAAGAAAAGAUGUGAAAGUACUUUACAAGAAUGAAUCUGGAUGCCUCAUACACUUCCUGUUGUACGACCUUCACAACCAGUUCAUUUUGCAGAUCAAGAAGGAGACCAAAGAUCAACGGAGGGAAGGCUGUGUGAGGAGGUGGUUGUCUACAAGCCAGGGAGAGAGCCCUCACCAGCAACUGACUCUGCCAGCACUUUGAUCCUGGACUUCUGUCUUCCAAAAUAGGAAAGCCACCUGCCUUUCUUUGAGAAACUCAGAUAGUCCUGUAGAGAGGCCCACUUGACAAAGAACUGAGACCACGGUCCAGCCAUUAGGAAUGAAAGCCUUCCAACAACCACGUGGGUGAACUUGAAAGUGUAUCCUUCAACCCACUGGAGCCUUGAAAUACUGCAGUCCCGGUCAACAGUUUGACUGCAGCCUGAGAACCCUCUGUCAGAAUCUUCCAGCUAAGCCCCUCCCUCAGAAACCAUGGGACUCAUGGGUCUUGGUGGCACUAACAGGUAACUGACAUGGUUGGUCUCCAUUUUAGGAUUCUCUUAAAUCUGUAGGUUUCUGCUUCAUCUCUCUCCCUUUUCAACUUACGUAUUGAAGAAACACAAUGGUUUGUCAGGUAAAUGUCCUAGCUCUCUGGAGUCUCCUGAUUACACCUCCAUGAUAGUGUUUCACCAUAUUCCUCUUGCCUCUGUUUAUCCUGUAGACUGACAAUUCAAUCUACCUGCCCUGUCCGAUAUGAUACUGCAAUAUACAGAGUCAUAAGAAACACGUAUUUGGUCAUUCAGAUGACCAAAUAUGUGUUUCUCGGCCACAUUUGGUCUUCAUCCACAGUUCCUGAAAACACUGCAGUCUUAAAGGUGAAAUGGAUGUCUUGUCAUGUUAAUGAGAGACUUUUGGACCCCCACCCAAAAGUGGGGGCUGGAGGUUAAAUCAGUCAAUGGUCCAUGAUUUAUUCAAUCAUGACUAUGCAAUGAAGCCCUCACAAACACCUCUGAGAAGAGCAUCUCUCUCUUGGAUCCAACUUCUCUGUCGGGGAGAGCUUCCAAGCUUGGGGAAGGAGAACACGUCCACAUGCCACGGAACCAGGCCCCGAGCUCCACAGGGAUAGAAGCUCCUUUAUUUGGGACUAACCCUAUGUAUCCCUUCAUCUACCUGUUAAGUUGUAUCCUUUUACAGUAUCCUUUGUUUCCCCGAGUUCUGUGAGCAGCUUAGCAAAUUAAUCGAACCUAAGGGGUAGGUUGUGGGAGCCUCCAAUCUGUGAUAGUUCAGAAGCACAGGGAACUGCCUGGGGCUUACAACUCGUGUCUGGAGUCAGAGGGUGGAGGGCAGUCUUGUAGGAUGGAGCCCUUAACAUGGGGAGUUUUGUGCUGUCUCUGGGCAGAUAGUAUCAGGAUCGCAUUGAGCUCUCGGACACCCUGCUGCUGUUUGAGAAUUGCUUGGUGUGGAGUGUGUGAGAAGACCCCA